UUGAAAGGGAAACGAUUGAAGUCAGUCGUACCAGCGGGAAAUCAACCUUUCGAGUGGGGUUUUGGAGUUUUUUGAAGAGUGUCAAAACCUUUAUUUCAAAAUAUUCGCUCUUUUGGUGUACUUUCUCGUGGGUAGGUUAACAUCGAUUUUGAUCAUCAUAAAAAGAUUGGAGGAAUGUAGCUUCGAUCUUGUAUUGAAGUGUUAUAGCCUUUGGUAAAUGUGAUGAUUAGGAUCGAGGAUUGCAACGAAUGCCCUUUUGGGCUAUCCGCCUGAUCUCUGAUACGUGGCCUUGGUAUCGAAAGCUUGCUUAUGGUAUUGAGGUAUUACGGUCAAAAGGUUAGAACGGAUUACAUUCGUUAAGGAUGUUGACGUA
rnacentral:rRNA from 1 species